UACGUAGGGGGCUAGCGUUGUCCGGAAUCAUUGGGCGUAAAGAGCGUGUAGGCGGCCCGGUAAGUCCGCUGUAAAAGUCAAAGGCUCAACCUUUGAAUGUCAGUGGAUACUGCCGGGCUAGAGUCCGGAAGAGGCGAGUGGAACUCCUGGUGUAGCGGUGGAAUGCGCAGAUAUCAGGAAGAACACCAACGGCGAAGGCAGCUCGCUGGGACGGUACUGACGCUGAGACGCGAAAGCGUGGGGAGCGAGCAGG
rnacentral:rRNA from 1 species